AUUGAACGCUGGCGGCAUGCCUUACACAUGCAAGUCGAACGGCAGCAUAGGAGCUUGCUCCUGAUGGCGAGUGGCGAACGGGUGAGUAAUAUAUCGGAACGUGCCCUAGAGUGGGGGAUAACUAGUCGAAAGACUAGCUAAUACCGCAUACGAUCUACGGAUGAAAGUGGGGGAUCGCAAGACCUCAUGCUCCUGGAGCGGCCGAUAUCUGAUUAGCUAGUUGGUGGGGUAAAAGCUCACCAAGGCGACGAUCAGUAGCUGGUCUGAGAGGACGACCAGCCACACUGGGACUGAGACACGGCCCAGACUCCUACGGGAGGCAGCAGUGGGGAAUUUUGGACAAUGGGGGCAACCCUGAUCCAGCAAUGCCGCGUGAGUGAAGAAGGCCUUCGGGUUGUAAAGCUCUUUUGUCAGGGAAGAAACGGUUCUGGAUAAUACCUGGGACUAAUGACGGUACCUGAAGAAUAAGCACCGGCUAACUACGUGCCAGCCGCCGCAGUAA
rnacentral:rRNA from 1 species